rnacentral:rRNA from 1 species
GCGGCUACUGCUAUCAGGUUUCGACUAAGCCAUGCGAGUCAAGGGGUCGUAAGACACCGGCGUACUGCUCAGUAACACGCGGACAAUCUACCCCCAGGUGGAGGAUAACCUCGGGAAACUGAGGCUAAUACCCCAUAGUUGUCAUGUGCUGGAAUGCUUUGACGAUGAAAGAAUUUCGCCUGAGGAUGAGUCUGCGGCCUAUCAGGUAGUAUGUGGUGUAAAGGACCACAUAGCCUAAGACGGGUACGGGCCUUGAAAGAGGGAGCCCGGAGAUGGACUCUGAGACACUAGUCCAGGCCCUACGGGGCGCAGCAGGCGCGAAAACUGUGCAAUGCGCGCAAGCGCGACACGGGAAGCCUGAGUGCCUUAACUAUGUUAAGGCUUUUCUUGAUCCUAAAAAGCUCAAGGAAUAAGAGCUGGGUAAGACGGGUGCCAGCCGCCGCGGUAACACCCGCGGCUCGAGUGGUAGUCACUUUUAUUGAGCCUAAAGCGUUUGUAGCCGGAUUUGUAAAUCUCUAGGAAAAUACUUCUGCUUAACUGAAGAAAUUUUGGAGAGACUGCAAAUCUAGGGACCGGGUGAGGUUGAAUGUACUUCUGGGGUAGGGGUAAAAUCCUGUAAUCCUGGAAGGACGACCGGUGGCGAAGGCGUUCAACUAGAACGGACCCGACGGUGAGGAACGAAGGCUAGGGGAGCAAACCGGAUUAGAUACCCGGGUAGUCCUAGCUGUAAACACUGCCCACUUGGUGUUGCAUCUCCGGUAAGGGGGUGCAGUGCCGUAGCGAAGGUGUUAAGUGGGCCGCUUGGGGAGUAUGGUCGCAAGGCUGAAACUUAA